rnacentral:rRNA from 1 species
UACAGAGGGUGCAAGCGUUGUUCGGAAUUAUUGGGCGUAAAGGGCGCGUAGGCGGUGCUGUAAGUCUGUAGUGAAAUCUCUGGGCUCAACUCAGAGUCUGCUAUAGAAACUGCAGUGCUAGAGUGUGGGAUGGGAGAGUGGAAUUCCUGGUGUAGCGGUGAAAUGCGUAGAUAUCAGGAGGAACACCGGUGGCGAAGGCGGUUCUCUGGGCCUUACCUGACACUGAGGAGCGAAAGCGUGGGGAGCGAACAGG